rnacentral:rRNA from 1 species
AUUGAACGCUGGCGGCAGGCCUAACACAUGCAAGUCGAGCGGAGCGGCGGACGGGGGAGGAAUGCCUAGGAAUCUGCCUGGGAGUGGGGGAUAACGUCCGGAAACGGGCGCUAAUACCGCAUACUAGCAGAUGAGCCUAGGGCGGAUUGGCUAGUUGGUGGGGUAAUGGCCUACCAAGGCGACGAUCCGUACCUGGUCUGAGAGGAUGAUCAGUCACACUGGAACUGAGACACUGUCCAGACUCCUACGGGAGGAAGCAGUGGGGAAUUUUGGGCAAUGGGUGAAAGCCUGAUCCAGCCAUGCCGCGUGUGUGAAGAAGGUCUUCGGAUUGUAAAGCUCUUUAAGUUGGGAGGCGUUACCAACAGAAUAAGCACCGGCUAACUUCGUGCCAGCAGCCGCGGUAAUAC